UUAAGCGACUAAGCGUACACGGUGGAUGCCCUGGCAGUCAGAGGCGAUGAAGGACGUGCUAAUCUGCGAAAAGCGUCGGUAAGGUGAUAUGAACCGUUAUAGCCGGCGAUGUCCGAAUGGGGAAACCCAGUGUGAUUCGUCACACUAUCGUUAACUGAAUACAUAGGUUAACGAGGCGAACCGGGGGAACUGAAACAUCUAAGUACCCCGAGGAAAAGAAAUCAACCGAGAUUCCCCCAGUAGCGGCGAGCGAACGGGGAGCAGCCCAGAGUUUGAAUCAGCUUGUGUGUUAGUGGAACGGUCUGGAAAGUCCGACGGUACAGGGUGAUAGUCCCGUACACCAAAAUGCACAGGCUGUGAACUCGAAGAGUAGGGCGGGACACGUGGUAUCCUGUCUGAAUAUGGGGGGACCAUCCUCCAAGGCUAAAUACUCCUGACUGACCGAUAGUGAACCAGUACCGUGAGGGAAAGGCGAAAAGAACCCCGGCGAGGGGAGUGAAAAAGAACCUGAAACCGUGUACGUACAAGCAGUGGGAGCACCUUCGGGUGUGACUGCGUACCUUUUGUAUAAUGGGUCAGCGACUUAUAUUCUGUAGCAAGGUUAACCGUAUAGGGGAGCCGCAGGGAAACCGAGUCUUAACUGGGCGUUAAGUUGCAGGGUAUAGACCCGAAACCCGGUGAUCUAGCCAUGGGCAGGUUGAAGGUUGGGUAACACUAACUGGAGGACCGAACCGACUAAUGUUGAAAAAUUAGCGGAUGACUUGUGGCUGGGGGUGAAAGGCCAAUCAAACCGGGAGAUAGCUGGUUCUCCCCGAAAGCUAUUUAGGUAGCGCCUCGUGAAUUCAUCUUCGGGGGUAGAGCACUGUUUCGGCUAGGGGGUCAUCCCGACUUACCAACCCGAUGCAAACUACGAAUACCGAAGAAUGUUAUCACGGGAGACACACGGCGGGUGCUAACGUCCGUCGUGAAGAGGGAAACAACCCAGACCGCCAGCUAAGGUCCCAAAGUCAUGGUUAAGUGGGAAACGAUGUGGGAAGGCACAGACAGCCAGGAUGUUGGCUUAGAAGCAGCCAUCAUUUAAAGAAAGCGUAAUAGCUCACUGGUCGAGUCGGCCUGCGCGGAAGAUGUAACGGGGCUAAACCAUGCACCGAAGCUGCGGCAGCGACACUAUGUGUUGUUGGGUAGGGGAGCGUUCUGUAAGCCUGCGAAGGUGACCUGUGAGGGUUGCUGGAGGUAUCAGAAGUGCGAAUGCUGACAUAAGUAACGAUAAAGCGGGUGAAAAGCCCGCUCGCCGGAAGACCAAGGGUUCCUGUCCAACGUUAAUCGGGGCAGGGUGAGUCGACCCCUAAGGCGAGGCCGAAAGGCGUAGUCGAUGGGAAACAGGUUAAUAUUCCUGUACUUGGUGUUACUGCGAAGGGGGGACGGAGAAGGCUAUGUUAGCCGGGCGACGGUUGUCCCGGUUUAAGCAUGUAGGCUGAUUAUCCAGGCAAAUCCGGAUAAUCAAGGCUGAGGUGUGAUGACGAGGCACUACGGUGCUGAAGUAACAAAUGCCCUGCUUCCAGGAAAAGCCUCUAAGCAUCAGGUAACAUCAAAUCGUACCCCAAACCGACACAGGUGGUCAGGUAGAGAAUACCAAGGCGCUUGAGAGAACUCGGGUGAAGGAACUAGGCAAAAUGGUGCCGUAACUUCGGGAGAAGGCACGCUGGUGUGUAGGUGAAGUCCCUGCGGAUGGAGCUGAGACCAGUCGAAGAUACCAGCUGGCUGCAACUGUUUAUUAAAAACACAGCACUGUGCAAACACGAAAGUGGACGUAUACGGUGUGACGCCUGCCCGGUGCCGGAAGGUUAAUUGAUGGGGUUAUCCGUAAGGAGAAGCUCUUGAUCGAAGCCCCGGUAAACGGCGGCCGUAACUAUAACGGUCCUAAGGUAGCGAAAUUCCUUGUCGGGUAAGUUCCGACCUGCACGAAUGGCGUAAUGAUGGCCAGGCUGUCUCCACCCGAGACUCAGUGAAAUUGAACUCGCUGUGAAGAUGCAGUGUACCCGCGGCAAGACGGAAAGACCCCGUGAACCUUUACUAUAGCUUGACACUGAACAUUGAGCCUUGAUGUGUAGGAUAGGUGGGAGGCUUUGAAGCGUGGACGCCAGUCUGCGUGGAGCCAACCUUGAAAUACCACCCUUUAAUGUUUGAUGUUCUAACGUUGGCCCCUUACCGGGGUUGCGGACAGUGUCUGGUGGGUAGUUUGACUGGGGCGGUCUCCUCCCAAAGCGUAACGGAGGAGCACGAAGGUUAGCUAAUCCUGGUCGGACAUCAGGAGGUUAGUGCAAUGGCAUAAGCUAGCUUGACUGCGAGCGUGACGGCGCGAGCAGGUGCGAAAGCAGGUCAUAGUGAUCCGGUGGUUCUGAAUGGAAGGGCCAUCGCUCAACGGAUAAAAGGUACUCCGGGGAUAACAGGCUGAUACCGCCCAAGAGUUCAUAUCGACGGCGGUGUUUGGCACCUCGAUGUCGGCUCAUCACAUCCUGGGGCUGAAGUAGGUCCCAAGGGUAUGGCUGUUCGCCAUUUAAAGUGGUACGCGAGCUGGGUUUAGAACGUCGUGAGACAGUUCGGUCCCUAUCUGCCGUGGGCGCUGGAGAAUUGAGGGGGGCUGCUCCUAGUACGAGAGGACCGGAGUGGACGCAUCACUGGUGUUCGGGUUGUCAUGCCAAUGGCACUGCCCGGUAGCUAAAUGCGGAAGAGAUAAGUGCUGAAAGCAUCUAAGCACGAAACUUGCCCCGAGAUGAGUUCUCCCUGAGACUUUAAGUCUCCUGAAGGAACGUUGAAGACGACGACGUUGAUAGGCCGGGUGUGUAAGCGCAGCGAUGCGUUGAGCUAACCGGUACUAAUGAACCGUGAGGCUUAACCUU
rnacentral:rRNA from 2 species